rnacentral:ncRNA from 1 species
GGACCAGGGGAAUCCGACUGUUUAAUUAAAACAAAGCAUCGCGAAGGCCCGAGGUGGAUGUUGACACGAUGUGAUUUCUGCCUAGUGCUCAAUGUCAAAGUGAAGAAAUUCAAUGAAGUGCAGGUAAGCGGCGGGAGUAACAAUGACUCUCUUAAGUAGUCCUUAGCCUUAGUAAGGGAGAUAACGAGGUAGCCCUCUAGCAGGGCUCUUCCAAUCCCUCCCUGUAUGUCACCUGUUUUCAGUGUCACUAACGAUGCAAACCUCGGUACUAGUCCGUACGCAAAGAGAGUCCUGCAGAUGGUGACGGCUGUUGAUCGUUACCCGAAGGCGGCAAUCGGUCCUGGAAUAUGGGGCUUUCGGUCAAGCAUGAAAAUGUGAGGGCGGUUCCA